rnacentral:rRNA from 1 species
AUUGAACGCUGGCGGCAGGCCUAACACAUGCAAGUCGAGCGAGCGGCGGACGGGUGAGUAAUGUAUGGGGACUGCCCGAUAGAGGGGGAUAACUACUGGAAACGGUGGCUAAUACCGCAUACUGUCGGAUAACCCAUAUGGGAUUAGCUAGUAGGUAAGGUAAUGGCUUACCUAGGCGACGAUCCCUAGCUGGUCUGAGAGGAUGAUCAGCCACACUGGGACUGAGAUGCGGCCCAGACUCCAACGGAGGCAGCAGUGGGGAAUGGUGGACUAUGGGAGCAGGCCUGAUGCAACCAUGCCGAGUAUAUUGAACAGGCCCUAGGGUAGGAAAGUAAUUUCAGUCGGGAGGCGUUACCAACUGAAGAAGCACCGGCUAACUCCGUGCCAGCAGCCGCGGUAAUUC